rnacentral:rRNA from 1 species
UACGUAGGGGCCGAGCGUUGUCCGGAGUUAUUGGGCGUAAAGCGCGCGCAGGCGGCUUCGCGCGUCCGACGUGAAAGCCCCCGGCUCAACCGGGGAGGGUCGUUGGGUACGGCGGAGCUUGAGGGCGGUAGAGGUUGGUGGAAUUCCCGGUGUAGUGGUGAAAUGCGUAGAGAUCGGGAGGAACACCUGUGGCGAAGGCGGCCAACUGGGCCGACCCUGACGCUGAGGCGCGAAGGCGUGGGGAGCGA